rnacentral:rRNA from 1 species
UACGUAGGGUGCAAGCGUUGUCCGGAAUUAUUGGGCGUAAAGAGCUCGUAGGCGGUUUGUCGCGUCUGCUGUGAAAACCCGAGGCUCAACCUCGGGCCUGCAGUGGAUACUGGCAGGCUGGAGUACGGUAGAGGAAGGUGGAAUUCCCGGUGUAGCAGUGAAAUGCGUAGAUAUCGGGAGGAACACCAGUGGCGAAGGCGGCCAUCUGGAUCAACACUGACGCUGAGGCACGAAAGCGUGGGGAGCAAACAGG